rnacentral:rRNA from 1 species
UACAGAGGUCCCGAGCGUUGUUCGGAUUCACUGGGCGUAAAGGGUGCGUAGGCGGUCGGGUAAGUCUGAUGUGAAAUCUCACAGCUUAACUGUGAAACUGCAUUGGAUACUAUUCGGCUUGAGAGUUGGAGGGGGGACUGGAAUUCUUGGUGUAGCAGUAAAAUGCGUAGAUAUCGGGAGGAACACCUGUGGCGAAAGCGGCGCACUGGACCACAACUGACGCUGAGGCGCGAAAGCUAGGGGAGCAAACAGG